rnacentral:lncRNA from 1 species
CCCCGAUCCCAUGACCUGGGAAUUAUCCAGCCUGCCUUUGUUUCUUUAAACCAUGCAUCAGGCACCCACUUGACUGUAGACUCAGAUGCCUAUGGGGCUCCUGGUAGUGGUGUAGCAUCCCAUUUGCCUUGUUCCCAACUUUCUCCAUCCCCAUCACUACCUGGCUCAGGGGCCUUCAACCUCCUUCCACGCUGCCCAAAAUGCCUGGUUUAUCUCGGCAGCACGUACAAGCUUGGAGAAACUCCUUUUAUCUACGCACAUGGGCACAGCCCACUGCUCUAGUUCUCAGCAGCAGGGAAGAACUCCUCAUGCCAGCCCAGGCCCUGGGACUCAAUCCUGGGUUUGAGCCCCUCGGCCGUGGCUAGCCAGGUCAAUGUCCAGUACCUAUUAAUCCCCUCUUGCAAAGAGGAGUCCCACAGCAAUCUGUUAGUCCCGUCGAUUGUACAAUGAAGCAUCGUGCUGGCUGUGAACCAUCAAGCUCUGCAACUAUUUUAUUGCCUUAGAAGACCUUCAGAGGGAGAAGCCAUGUAAAAAUAAAGUCUGAGCAGACUUUAAAGUUUUUAUUAUUUUAUAUUACGCCAUGACUUGCAUGGAAUGACCACAAAGUGGCAUAACCUUCCUGGUCAUGUAACUUAACUCAUCAGGCCUGGCUAGAAAGUGAGAACUCCCAGAUACACAAUUUAGUCCACCAGAAACAUGGGA